CUUCCACCUAACAACAUCUCCAUAAUCAUCACAAACCAAGGGAUAUAAUCAUCAUAAAUCAAACUAGACAUUCUUUUAUGCUCUCAUUUUUCUCAUAACAACAAAGUCGACUAUCCAUGAAUUUUUCAAUUAUCACUCGACUUUCUCAAUCAACUUUCAUCAAAAUUUCUUUCUUUUUCUCUUUUUUUUUUCUUUUUCUAGAGCUUAUAAGAAUGACUAGAAUCAUGUUUCACCCUUAUUUCAAUCAACCCACAGUCAAUAUCACACGACGAUCCCCAUAUACUCCAUCACCCCCUAUCAUCCGGUUAAUGAAUCAAAGCUUAAAAAGGCUCAAACACGGUUAACAAGGGAAUAAUAUUUUCAGGACAGUGUUUGGGAUAUAACGUGGCUUACGAAAAAUGGCCUAAGAUCAUCUCAAACUCUUGAACAC
rnacentral:lncRNA from 1 species